rnacentral:lncRNA from 1 species
GACCCGCUACAAGAUUUUGGCUUUUCUGUUGACCAGUGUUCCAAACAAUUAAAACCAAACCUCCACAUUCGAUUUGGAAUCAUUCUGAGACAAGACAUCAGGGAGCUGUUUCUGGACGUCGCUCUCUUCAGUCAGGGGUCCUCCAUCCUGAACUUCUCCUACCCCAUCUGCGAGGCGGAUCUGCCCAAGUUUUCCUUCUGCGGAAGAAGGAAAGGAGGAGCGGAGUCAGGACCCCAAGGCGGAGUCUGGUUGUCCCCGACUCCCACCUGUGGACACCCUGAAUGUCGCUUAGCAACGCGCAUCCUGUAAACCACCCCGCUGGGGCCGACCUCACUGGGCCGAGUGGGGUCAGCAUCGUCACCAAACGAAACGUGCCUAUCAGGGGUUUACAAAGAGACACGUGGGCUGUGGAUGGUGGCACCUUAUAGAAAAUUGCUGGUGAGCCCACUGAGAUUCAAAGUGCUCCCAGACUCCUCCUCAGCCAUCUCUUUAGCGGCAGGGUCCCUAAGUGGACGCCAGGGAAGAGAAAGUGAAGUUUUCUAAAUGUCACUGCUCAACCGUCGUGGUUCAGUGAGUCAGUGGCUGAUGGGGACAUGAGGUAUCUAGCGGCAAAGGACAGAAGCAUGAAACCCACCACGUUCUCUCUUCUUUCUCCAAUUCGCUAACCCCAGCCCCCUGCUGGACUUACCCCCGAAGAGCACAGGCGCCUCUCUCCAGCCUGUCCCCUCUCCUCUCCUCCGUGUCCUCACCGGCCACCUUCACCACGAUGCCGAGCUGCCUCUUUCUUCACCUCCACCCAGGGUUUGAUCUGUGAUGGUCCUUCCCCGGAAGCUGGUCUCGUCCCCCUUCCUCUCCCCUCCCUCCCCCACCGCUUAGCCUCCAAUGCCUGUUCCCCCUUUGUCCCUCACCCAGACCCAACUUAAGCAUCACCUUCUCUCUGAAACCUUCCUCCAACCUCCAGCCACAUGAAAUGCUCCCUCUGGAUCUUCCUGGAGCACUAUGUCCCCACCUAUCUAAGCUGGAACUGUACUCUAGAGUUGGCCUGUGCACACGCGCACACGUGCACACGUGUGUUUCUCUCUUGAAGUCAGGACACUUCACACUGUGAGCCCUUUGAAGGCAGGGCUAUUUCUGGUUCCUUUCAGUCUCUGCUGACUUGACAAAGAGAGCCUGGCACAGAAUAACGACGCGAUAAGUAUUUUAUUGAAUUUGCAGGUGGUAGAUUGAAUGCAAGUUUACCAGCCCACCUCCAAAGUGACCAUCGGGACACCUAUACAGGCCACAGUCACGAAGCACAGCCAGUCAUAGCUAAUGUCUCAAUCCUUCAUGUUUAAGACGACCAAACUGUUUUCUCCUCUGUGCAUGGUUUUGAUAAGAGAAACAACACAGAAGAGUUAUUAGUCUCCAAAACGGAGAUGCCCAGUUCAGUUCGGCAGCUUGAAAGGCUGGUGUCGAUCUUAUUUGAAUGGUGGGCAGCCCUUCAGCCAUUCAUCAUCUUUCUUGCUAUAGCAUUGAUUACUGAGCAGGCUGAGAAGCCGAACUUGGGGAAUUGCCAGGAAAUUUUAAAUAGAAUAAAACAAUCAGAAAAGUCAUAACGCAAAUGCUGCAUAAACAAAUGAUUUGUGUAAAUUAGACAAGCCAGGAAAAACUAAAAUCUUACACUCGGAGGCUUCUUGGGUUAUUACACUUUUUUUUUUUUAACCCACCUACAAACCUACUGAAGGAAUGAUUCUCUUGAAAGGAGGUGCUAAGUUCUAAGACCAGAAAGGGGGCAAAUGGCACCAAGGAGAAUUGAAGUCAACUCAAAUCCAAGUGCAGGUGGCUGGUGACAUACUAAACAGGAUGCUGAGUGCCUUCUGGGGUCCUUUUAGCAGAGCAGUGAGAAAACCCACUCCAGGGUUCCAGGAUCAGCUGCCGUUGAGUUGUUUGGUAUUUCCACUGCAUUGCAACGCAUCCUUCUGCAUCCAGCUAGCUCUUCUCCCAGCCAGGAAAAAACUGCAAACUGGUCAGGCUCAGGGAGACUAUGUGAAUAAAAUGUUUUUCUUCCGCAUCUUCCUCAGCUAGCUCCAAGGCAAGAGUACCAGGGCUUCCACUCCCAGGGAUGCUAUUUCAGUGUUCCUAUGUAUGGUGUGAUUGGUAACUGGGGGGAGAAUGACCUCUAUGGCCAGUGACAGGGAAUUGGCCAGUCAUUCAGCCAAACAGAGCUACAGUGUUCUGUGCUUUUAAGAGAUUUGUAGGAGUUAUUGAAUUACAUGAAAAUAUAAGAAUAUUGUUAAGUGACAAAGAAGCUGUCAUUAAAGAGUAUUUACUGUUGGAUCCUGUGAGUGUAAACACCUGCCAAAAAUGCUGAAAUAGUGUACACCUAGGUGCUUAAUCACAGGCACCUCUAAGUGGUGGCACUGCAGAGCUUUAGUUUCAUCUUUUGGGAAAUCUCUUUUGUUUUUAUAAUAAAUUUACAAGGUUACGCUUUCAAAUAAGAGUUGAUCUUUGUAGGAAAGAGUAGAGGAUAAAUUUUCUCCCCCACUGUGAAGCAAAUAAGAGUUUUCAAGAAAAAGAAUUGUCAACUACUUAAUACUCAGUGACUUUGGUGUUAGAAUCUGAAUCAAAGCAUUGCAUGGAAGGUCACGGGACUGUCUGAUAUUCAGCCUGGCUCCUUCCCUGAGCUCCCCCUGAUGGCUUUACUGCUGUGGGCUCAUUGAGCAGGUACCAAAAUAAGCCCAUUUUACUUCCGACUCUGUUAAUGUCCCCUGUUCCUUUCUCUCUUCUUUGCACUGAGUCACAUAGAUCCAUCUGGUCAACUUCUUGAUGCCUUCGGACUGGCUCCAUCAAUGUUUAAGAUUGAAUUGGGAUUCCAUUAAAUCUCCUCAAUGACCACACCUAAUUACUAACCCCAAAGAGAGAAGCUGCAGUAAACUUCCUUCAUACCCAGCAACGAUCUCCACGCUUCCAUUUGGGGAUGGGGGCUGUGAGGACAGUCAGGUGCUUUUAACCAGAGCUGUGAGCACAGGUACCCUCCGACUUUGCAGAUGCAGGCUUCGUAGGAAAACGUAACAUCUUUGCUCUGACUGUGCUCUGCCACCUGCCACCAAAUUAGACUCGGGACAAAGAAAGGGGUCUAAGCACACAGAUGGUUGGUGGGAAGAAGGAGACCCUUAUGAAAAGCCAGAGAGCAGGUCUGGUCCCCUCCCCACGCUGCCACUGGCAGGUUAGGGCAGAGCCCUUUCCUCUGAGGGACCAUUUGACCCCAGGUUCUCACUUAUUUCAUGCAGUGGGAGUAACCAGAACCCUUUACUGGGUAAGAGAGGCAGCUGAAUAAGAAGAGCUGUGUGGCCUGCCUGGCAUGCUAGAAGCUCACAGUAAAACUGGCCACGGCGUGUGUCUCUCUGCUUCCUCCCUCAUCUGAGAGACCCAGAGGCAGGGAUUUAUUUUCACUUGCAGAUCAAGUGGCCCGCAGCUGCUUUGUAAACUGGGCUCCCCCAUACAAAUGAGCCAGAGGUGAGGACGCUGAGCCACCAGCUCACCAGAAGGCAGGUGGCAGCCGGGCCAGGAUCCCAGAAGACUGGCAAGCUCUCCUGGGUCUUUCCGUGCUGUUCUGCUUUCUUAGCUGGGUCUAAGUUUGGCCUCUAAAGGUCUCAUGUUCCAUCUCUCUGGCUUGACUUCCUUCCAGAAGGCAUGACCACGGGAGUGUCCACUCCCCGGGGGGAAAACUUCAGAUUUACUCUCGGGGGUGUGGUCUGUCCCCCUGGCCACACAACCCCCUAACAGAGGGGCUUCCCCCAAAGUCUGGGCUGGCUGGCACUAAGCAGUGCUGCCAUCAAGACACCCCUGGCCCCAUGUAGCCCCUUGUGCCCCCUUCUGAUUUGUCAGGGCUUCAACACACCUGGAUGUCCCUUCUCAGCAACACAGGAUUCCUUUUGCCCAGUGGAUUUCCCAGAAUAUCCCCUAAAAUUUGGCUGCAGGACUCACUAUUGAGCAGGCAACUAAAGGGUCCAUCUGGGAAGUGGGAUCAAGACCCAUCCCCACCCCCACGGGACACGCUCCAUCCAAAUAAAAAAUAGGAGGCAAAUUACCAAAAGGAACAGGGUAGCCCAGGUUUGGGCUGUCUAGAAAAUAUUGUGCUGUGUGGAAAGAAGAUUCUCAACUGGAAAGGAACUUGGAGAUUUGAGCAGAGAAGCAGAUUAAAGACAUACAGUAGUAGGAGCUCCCGUUAUAGCUCAGCAGUUAACAAACCGGACUAGCAUCCCUGAGGACGUGGGUUCGCUCCCUGGCCUUGCUCGGUGGGUUAAGGAUCUGGCAUUGCCAUGAGCUGUGGUGUAGGUCGCAGAUGCGGCUCGGAUCCCAUGUUGCUGUGGCUGUGGUGUAGGCCGGCGGCUACAGCUCCGAUUGGACCCCUAGCCUGGGAACCUCCAUGUGCCACGGGUGUGGCCCUAAAAAGACAAUAACAACAAAAAAAUUCAUGUGCAUGUGCAUGCAUGCAUCUGUGUGUGUGUGUGUGUGUGUAUAAGAUCAAAAACUAGGGAGUUCCUGUUGUGGCACAAUGGAAUCAACAGUAUCUCUGCAGCACUAGGAUGUGGGUUCCAUACCUAGUCAGGCACAGUUGGUUAAAGGAUCCAGCAUUGCCUUAACUGUGGCUCAGAUCUGAUCCCUGGCCCAGGGAACUCCAUAUGC